rnacentral:tmRNA from 1 species
GGGCUUGUACCGGUUUCGACGGGUGUUUUAAGAUUGCGGAAGCCAUUCAUGUGCCGGACCAUGUAAAUAACCGGAAAACCUAAAUAUAAACGCAGAUAACAAAUUUGCACUUGCUGCCUAAUUAGGCAGCUGUCGGCCCGUGGCACCCACGCAGCGGUCAACCGGCAUCAUCUACGUGGGAAACGACACGCGGUAAGCUUUGCCCGCGCGGGCGUAUCAUGAAGCUACCAAGACCGUGAGCCCGAUCAUCGGCGCACGGAGGCGGGAACGGGCGCAAGCCGGAUAGGUGGUCUGUAAUGGGAGAAACCGUGGUGGCGAGGCAUUCGGACAGGGGUUCGACUCCCCUCAGGUCCA